rnacentral:lncRNA from 1 species
ACCUGUGUAAGGUGCCCUGUAUAUUUAUAAUAGGCUUUGGCCUAUAUGAUUGACAGUGGCUAGGUAUCACUCGUGUUAGAAUAAGAGUCUGCCAUUUUACUCCUUUGUAGACAUGACUCUAUCAAAGUGGUUUUCACACUACAGCAAGCAUCCCUUUCAGCAGUCUGAUUUCAGAAAACACUGGACCUGGGAAGAAUGAGAGGCUCAUAGUCCUUAGUAAGGCUGAGGCAGCUUUCAGUUUAGGGUGAGACUAGUCUGCAGUGAGCCUAAACUGCUUGGCCUCCCUCGCGGCUUUUCUCAAGCAGAACCUCGAGGCUCUGCUUUUAAACAAAGCAGCCCUCAGACUUCUAGAAGUCCUAUUGUGAGUUCCCUCAACCCUACCCCCUUCUUAAAGGAGCCUUCUGUCUUUAACAAAAAACAAACAGAUACUUUGGUUAUUCCCCCCAGGUGGAAGACAAGGUCCAGUCCUUAGCCUUAAGUGUUUCUGUCAUGUUCAAGUGUAUCUUCUGUAACAGAAACAUACUUGCAGUGUUUCUUUUCCCUUCUAAUUCUCUGGAGUGCAGCUGCUGUAGAAGUCUCAUGGUCAAAUCAUAUACUCUAACAAUGGCGUAUUGUAAAUACACUUGUCUGACCUCAAUAAAAGGGUACUUUUCUAU